AAUACGCCAUCUGCCCUGCAGCUUGCAUGAGCAUCAUGUGGCUGCUGCUGCACUGGGGUUUUAAAGCAGCAUUCACCCCUCUGAAGGAGAUCCUGACACUGAUGAGCCUGGCUAUAUGAUGACUUAUAAAGCGUCUCUGCAAAUGGAAAAUUCCAAAUAAAUGAAUGAAUGUGCAUUCUACAUGGCUAUAUGAGGUGGAGCAGCAAAAGUUACCAAGCUAUCAGGAAACGCCUUCAAUGCCAGCUGAGAGCAUUGCUUCAGGUACAGUUGCUCCAAAAUAAUCGCAAAAUCAGCCAGUUUGGAAGUGACCAUAGUCCAACUUCCCUCAUCAAACAGGGUCAUCCCAGAGCACAUGGUACCAGAUUGUGUCCAGAUGGUUCUUGAAUAUUUCCAGAGAGGGAGACUCCACAGUCUCUCUGGGCAGCCUGUUACAGUUUGUGGUUACA